rnacentral:rRNA from 1 species
GACGAACGCUGGCGGCGUGCUUAACACAUGCAAGUCGAACGGAAAGGCCCUGCUUUUGUGGGGUGCUCGAGUGGCGAACGGGUGAGUAACACGUGAGUAACCUGCCCUUGACUUUGGGAUAACUUCAGGAAACUGGGGCUAAUACCGGAUAGGAGCUCCUGCUGCAUGGUGGGGGUUGGAAAGUUUCGGCGGUUGGGGAUGGACUCGCGGCUUAUCAGCUUGUUGGUGGGGUAGUGGCUUACCAAGGCUUCGACGGGUAGCCGGCCUGAGCGGGGGAACGGGCACAAGGGGACUGAGAGACGGCGCAGACGGGAACGGGAGGCAGCAGGGGGGAAUAUUGCAGAACGGGCGGGAGCGUGAGGCAGCGACGCCGCGUGCGGGAUGACGGGUUUCGGGUUGAAAACCGCUUUCGCCUUUGACGAAGCGGGAGUGACGGUAACGGAUAAAGAAGCACCGGCUAACUACGUG